UUCAAGUCUAAAUCGAAAACCAAGCUAGGAUUAGUGAUCACUCGGGCUAGAGGAUCACAAGUUUGACUCUGACAAGCUAGGUAGGAGCUUGGAAAUGAACGGGUCAAAUGGAUACAAGUUCAAGUAUGAGGCUCGCAAGGAUGCAAGGAUAAAUCGGCUUAUGAAUUAGCGAUGCUAUGAAUUAGCUAUUAUUGAGACAAGGUAUUAAAACGGGUCAAUAUGUUGAUCCGAACCAGGUACGCAUAUUGUGAGUUAUAGAUAAGUAUACAGUAGAUUGUGCAUAACCAAGGGGAAAGAUUUAAUCUUAAAAGGUUUAAAUCUUCGAAGUAGGUCAAAAGAAUUAUGCGCAUAGAUUGGGUACUAGCCGCGUAAUUCAUAAAAGUUACAAACCCGAAUUAAAGAUUUUGAGAUAAACAUGUUGAUGUAUGCUUAAUGGUUAAUUAGAAACAAGUUUGUGGUUUAAAAACUUGAACAGGUCAAAAGUCUUUAAAAAUGAAUUUUAAAGCCAAGGGCUCGAAGCCUAUUAAUUUGUGAAUUCAGAUGUUAAGUUUGAAAGCUACCGUAAGUUACGGUAGAGCCCAGUCACUUUUGUCGAAUUUUGUAUAUCAUAGUUAAUCGAACCCGUUUUUGAGCAUAGUUUCGAUUACGGCACGCGACGGGUGUAAAACCUGCAAAUCCUUGUUAUUUUAAUUGUUUGGCUCAUGGGACUUGUGUUAACUUGUAAUUAAACUAUCAAAACUAACUUUUUUUGUUGGUUUUGAUUCUAGGUGAAUGUUAUAUGCUUCCGCAUGAGGAUCAAGCCACGAGCAAGAACCGAACACACCUCUCAAUGAAGCUUCCGCAUUCGAUCUUGUUUUGUUUUAAUAAAAGUGGAUUAUGUAAACACUUUUAGCGAUGUUUUGGAUGUUGUAAACAUGUUUAAAUACUUAUGAUGUAAAAGUUUUUGUUAAGUGGCAUUUUUCAUAUAAAAUGCUUACUUUAAUGUUAUGUAAAGGAUAAAAAUUAUUAUGGGUGUUA